rnacentral:rRNA from 1 species
UACGGGGGGGCAAGCGUUGUUCGGAAUUACUGGGCGUAAAGGGCUCGUAGGCGGCCAACUAAGUCAGACGUGAAAUCCCUCGGCUUAACCGGGGAACUGCGUCUGAUACUGGAUGGCUAGAGGUUGGGAGAGGGAUGCGGAAUUCCAGGUGUAGCGGUGAAAUGCGUAGAUAUCUGGAGGAACACCGGUGGCGAAGGCGGCAUCCUGGACCAAUUCUGA